rnacentral:tRNA from 1 species
GCCCGGCUAGCUCAAUCGGUAGAUCGUGAGACUCUUAAUCUCAAGGUUGGGGGUUCGAGCCCCCCGUUGGGCU